rnacentral:rRNA from 1 species
GAUGAACGCUGGCGGCGUGCCUAAUACAUGCAAGUCGAGCGAACAGACGAGGAGCUUGCUCCUUUGACGUUAGCGGCGGACGGGUGAGUAACACGUAGGUAACCUACCUAUAAGACUGGGAUAACUUCGGGAAACCGGAGCUAAUACCGGAUAAUAUUUCGAACCGCAUGGUUCGAUAGUGAAAGAUGGCCUUGCUAUCACUUAUAGAUGGACCUGCGCCGUAUUAGCUAGUUGGUAAGGUAACGGCUUACCAAGGCAACGAUACGUAGCCGACCUGAGAGGUUGAGCGGCCACACUGGAACUGAGACACGGUCCAGACUCCUACGGGAGGCAGCAGUAGGGAAUCUUCCGCAAUGGGCGAAAGCCUGACGGAGCAACGCCGCGUGAGUGAUGAAGGUCUUCGGAUCGUAAAACUCUGUUAUUAGGGAAGAACAAACGUGUAAGUAACUGUGCACGUCUUGACGGUACCUAAUCAGAAAGCCACGGCUAACUACGUG